rnacentral:tRNA from 1 species
GCCGUAGUGGCUUAGUGGUAGAGCACUCCCUUGGUAAGGGAGAGGUCGUGGGUCCGAUUCCCACUUACGGCACCA